CGCGGGAUGGUGUAAAGGUUGCACAGGAGGCUCAUAACCUCUAGGUGUCUGUUCGAUUCAGACUCCCGCAA
rnacentral:tRNA from 1 species